UAGGCAAAAUGACACCGUAACUUCGGGAGAAGGUGUACUCUUGUUAUGUGAAAUCACUCGCUGAUAGAGCAGAAAAGAGUUGAAAAUACUAGGUGGCUGCGACUGUUUAUUAAAAACACAGCACUCUGCAAACACGUAAGUGGACGUAUAGGGUGUGACUCCUGCCCGGUGCUUGAAGGUUAAUUGAUGAGGUUAGCGCUUGCGCGAAGCUUUUGAUCGAAGCCCAAGUAAACGGCGGCCGUAACUAUAACGGUCCUAAGGUAGCGAAAUUCCUUGUCGGGUAAGUUCCGACCUGCACGAAUGGAGUAACGACGGCCACACUGUCUCCACCCGAGACUCAGUGAAAUUGAAAUUGCUGUUAAGAUGCAGUAUACCCGCGGCCAGACGGAAAGACCCCGUGCACCUUUACUACAGCUUUGCAUUGAACUCUGAUCCUACUUGUGUAGGAUAGGUGGGAGGCUUUGAAGCUUUAACGCUAGUUAGAGUGGAGCCAUCCUUGAAAUACCACCCUGGUAUGGUUGGGGUUCUAACCUAGGUCCGUAAUCCGGAUCGGGAACAAUGCAUGGUGGGUAGUUUGACUGGGGCGGUCUCCUCCCAAAGAGUAACGGAGGAGCGCAAAGGUAUCCUCAGCACGGUCGGACAUCGUGCAAUGAGCGCAAAGGUAAAAGGAUGCUUGACUGCGAGACUGACACGUCGAGCAGGUAGGAAACUAGGUCUUAGUGAUCCGGUGGUUCUGAGUGGAAGGACCAUCGCUCAACGGAUAAAAGGUACGCCGGGGAUAACAGGCUGAUACCCCCCAAGAGUUCACAUCGACGGGGGUGUUUGGCACCUCGAUGUCGGCUCAUCACAUCCUGGGGCUGAAGCAGGUCCCAAGGGUAUGGCUGUUCGCCAUUUAAAGUGGUACGCGAGCUGGGUUUAGAACGUCGUGAGACAGUUCGGUCCCUAUCUACCGUGGGCGUUGGAGACUUGAGGGAAGCUGUUCUUAGUACGAGAGGACCGGAAUGGACACACCUCUGGUGUUUCGGUUGUGACGCCAGUCGCAUUGCCGAGUAGCUAUGUGUGGAAAGGAUAACCGCUGAAAGCAUCUAAGCGGGAAGCCCCUCCCAAGAUUAGGUCUCCCUAAUUAUUUAAUAAUUCUAAAGAUCCCUCGAAGACUACGAGGUUGAUAGGCUAGGUGUGGAAGUGCAGCAAUGUAUGAAGCUAACUAGUACUAAUUGAUCGUGAGGCUUGACCAU
rnacentral:rRNA from 1 species